UGGUCCCGGUCUUAAAAUCAGUUCUUACUUAACUUAUACAUGCAAGUUUCCGCACCCCCGUGAGAACGCCCUUACCUCCUUCCAGGAACAAGGAGCUGGUAUCAGGCACAGAUUUUUAGCCCAAGACACCUAGUUCAGCCACACCCACAAGGGGAUCCAGCAGUAAUUAACAUUGAGCAUGAGCGACAGCUUGACUCAGUCAAAGUAAAUAGGGCCGGCUAAUCCGGUGCCAGCCGCCGCGGCUAUACCGUAAGGCCCAAAUUGAUUUUUUCGGCGUAAAGCGUGGUUAAAGUUACCCCCACAAUUAUAGUUGCACCAGGAUUAAGCCGUUACACGCUUGUGCCUGAGAAGAACAAAAACGAAAGUUACUAUAUGCACUACCACUUGAACCCACGACAGCUGGGGGACAAACUGGGAUUAGAUACCCCACUAUGCCCAGCCGUAAACUUUUACUUACAUCCGUAUCGCCAGGGAACAACUAGCUAAGCUUAAAACCCAAAGGACUUGACGGUACCCCACAUCCACCUAGAGGAGCCUGUCCUAUAAUCGAUAACCCCCGCUAAACCUCACCAUUUCUAGCCCAGCAGCCUGUAUACCUCCGUCGUCAGCUUACCUCGUGAGUGAUCCAUAGUGCGCUUAAUGUCAUUACGUCAGGACGUCAGGUCAAGGUGCAGUAAAUGAAAUGGGAAGAGAUGGGCUACACUCUCUAACAUAGAGGAUACGAAAACCUAUAUGAAAUUCAGUCGGAAGGCGGAUUUAGAAGUAAAGGGGGAUCAUGGAGCCCCCUUUAAUACGGCACUGGGGUAUGUACAUACCGCCCGUCAUCCUCUUCAUAAGCCUAAAGACAGUAUUUAACACAAGACAGCUUUCUAGAAGAGGCAAGUCGUAACAUGGUAAGUGUACCGGAAGGUGCACUUGGAAA
rnacentral:ncRNA from 1 species